GGCUGGCGUUUCCAAAUCUCCGCCACCGCCUCGUCCACAGCCCCGUAUUCCACCGAAACCAACCGCUUUUCCAGAUCAUAUUCUAUGCCAUCGUGAGUUAGGAUUUCCGGCAGCAGUUUCACAGCUUCCCAGCUGGCGUUGACCGCUUCGUGACCGAGAAAUGGACCAAAUCCGGAGACUACAAUGAGCUUUCGAUCUGACGACGCCAUAACAAACACCCCAACUAAACUAAACCCCCCACCAACAACAGAACUAUCUUAAAUACCAUAUGAUUUCUAUCUUCUUCUUCACCCUUUGAAUCAUGCGUUUCAAAUGUUUGCGACGAUGGCGGAACGGUGGAAAUUGGAGCAUAUCGAAGUUUUUUAUUUUU
ensembl:ncRNA asRNA:CR45397 antisense RNA:CR45397